GUGUCUUACCUUAACAAAGAAAAAGAAUCAUGUUGGAUGGAGGUCCGAACUUCCUGCGAUCACUUGGUGUCCCUUUCGUCUGAUCUCAUUCACAUCCCCACACCAGAUACUCCUUGCCAAGUUUGUCAGGACCCAAAUGACAAUUGUCUCUGUUUAAGCUGCAAAGGGGUUUUCUGUAGCCGUUAUGUUAACAUGCACUUUCAAGACCAUUAUCGCAAGACACUUCACUGCUUAGCAUUUCACUACAAAGAUUUAUCAUUUUGGUGCAACUCCUGCAAUGCUUAUUUAGAUGCG